UGAAGGUUUAGUAGCCAUGAAUUAACUUUCCGUUUAAUUUUAGAGAAUGGUUUAUUUCUUAGUUCCUGAGGCAAUUGAUUGUAUAUUUUGGGAGCUAAGAAGACUAUACUUUUCUGAACUGCAGUAUAAUGCACUGGAGUUGAUAAGAUCAUUGAUUUACUUUGUGCAAAUCUAGUUGCAAUUGAGUGGGUUGAUGUAUUAAUGUUAAUUUUCUGGUUACUAAGGAGUCUAAUCAUUGAUUUUAAAUAUAAUUUAGUAAUGGUAAGUAAUUUAGAUUCCUGGAAUAGUAACUCGGUAUGAUGCAUUAUAUUUUUUAAAAGAGAUAUCUUUAUAAUUUUUUUUUGGGUAAUUUCAAGAGGAUUCAAGAAAGUUUUACUGGCGGCUCCCCAGAUACAAAUUCCAUAGUUAAUAAUUGAUUCUACUAAACCUUUGUAAAUAUUUAGUAUUGUUUUACGUGACAAACAUUGUCUUAAUAUAUAGAAUUUAUACAUAAGUUUUCUAAGUUUACCACAGAUAUAUUGCACAUGUAUCUCCCAUUUUAGAUGCCUAUCAAAGUAGACACCCAAAUAUUUAAUUUCGUCCACUGCACUAAUCCGCACACAAUUACAAGUUUUUAUAUUCCUACAAUCAUUGUCGUGAAUUUUAAUAGUCUCAAGGUCAUAAGGUAAUCCUGCUUUUGUCAUGGAGUGACACAUGAAAUGAGUCUUAUCAAUAUUAAGAGAUAAUAAACUAAAAUCCAGCCAUUUUUUAACCUCAACAAGAGCUUGUUCGGCCUUUUGAAACACUUCAUCCCACGUGCCACCCCCAACCAUGAGAGCUGUAUCAUCAGCGUAACAGACAACUUGCACACUUGUUAUUACCGAAAAUAUACUAUCCAUAUAGAGAGUGAACAAUAUUGGACCAAGGACCGUGCCCUGUGGCACACCACACCUCACUGGAAUUUUACUACUGUGAAUCUCGCCUAUCUUAACUUGCUGCUUCUAAGCGUUCCAUCAAGAUGUGGUGCGGCACAGUAUCAAAGGCCUUAGCCAGGUCCAGGAAGACUGUCAUACAUUUUGUAUUGGUGGUAAAAGCAUUUAUUAUGUCGUCAGCUACCCUGACUAAAGCAUCCUCAGUUCCCAUUCCCGUCUUAAAACCAUAUUGAUUUGCAUUAAGGUAAACUCCAGACCCAAAGAUAGUAUUUACCAGAUGUAAAAGAGGCACUAUCAAGUAUCUGUUAUAAUUCUUAAUAAAAUUAUUAGAUAUGC
rnacentral:lncRNA from 1 species